ACCUCUGUAGCGCAGCGGUAGCGUUACUGCUUACCACGCAAAGGCCCCGGGUUCGAUUCCCGGCAGGGGUU